GUCGAGCGGUAGAGAGAAGCUUGCUUCUCUUGAGAGCGGCGGACGGGUGAGUAAUGCCUAGGAAUCUGCCUGGUAGUGGGGGAUAACGUUCGGAAACGGACGCUAAUACCGCAUACGUCCUACGGGAGAAAGCAGGGGACCUUCGGGCCUUGCGCUAUCAGAUGAGCCUAGGUCGGAUUAGCUAGUUGGUGGGGUAAUGGCUCACCAAGGCGACGAUCCGUAACUGGUCUGAGAGGAUGAUCAGUCACACUGGAACUGAGACACGGUCCAGACUCCUACGGGAGGCAGCAGUGGGGAAUAUUGGACAAUGGGCGAAAGCCUGAUCCAGCCAUGCCGCGUGUGUGAAGAAGGUCUUCGGAUUGUAAAGCACUUUAAGUUGGGAGGAAGGGUUGUAGAUUAAUACUCUGCAAUUUUGACGUUACCGACAGAAUAAGCACCGGCUAACUCUGUGCCAGCAGCCGCGGUAAUACAGAGGGUGCAAGCGUUAAUCGGAAUUACUGGGCGUAAAGCGCGCGUAGGUGGUUUGUUAAGUUGGAUGUGAAAUCCCCGGGCUCAACCUGGGAACUGCAUUCAAAACUGACUGACUAGAGUAUGGUAGAGGGUGGUGGAAUUUCCUGUGUAGCGGUGAAAUGCGUAGAUAUAGGAAGGAACACCAGUGGCGAAGGCGACCACCUGGACUAAUACUGACACUGAGGUGCGAAAGCGUGGGGAGCAAACAGGAUUAG
rnacentral:rRNA from 1 species